GAUUUCCUCCACAAUCCCGUGCUUUGAGAGGAGAUGCCUUCCUCUGUCGUGUUCGCAUUGCCUACACCGGCACUGGCCAGUGGUGAGAGCCACUUUCCCUCUAUGUUGAUCCAAACCUUUGCAUUGUUAAACAUGAGUUUUUGUUCAAGACUUACAUAUGUUGUCUGCUGGCCAUCGAGCCGUGGCUAUCUGUGACAUUUGAUCAGCAGAGUAUGGUGCCAUUCUUAGUUACUUUAGGCAUAUUUGUGUGUGUAUUAGGAUUUCUAAACGUGUUCGGCUACUUUUAUCAGUCUUCAUUAAAUUUAGUUCUCGUGAAAACUAUUGCUAUGUCUUCUGCAGAACAUCAAUUGAAAAUUUGUGUUUGCUACACUGCCUCAUUGCUUCAAAUAUAGCUUUUCUUAACACAUGUAAUCUUUGAACUGGAUCUAUUACCUUGUUUAGUUGCUUUGAGUUGAAGCUUUGAACAAUAAGAUGUUUAGAUCAGUGGCAAUAUUGAUUGGACAGUACUAUGCUCAUAUAUGUGUAAGCAAUAAAGCCUGUAUUUUAUCUCCGCGCAUAUGGCUUGUUCUGCUGGAAUAAUGCCCUUGUAGACCUAAUCAAGUAUGAGUUUCUGCUCUUCGUGAAUGACUUUGUGAAUUACUUGUUCUAUGCGUUGAAUGAAUGUGUGGUUUUCUUUCUGCAUGCUAAAUGCUUCGGGGGUAGCUGUCUCUCUACACGCGGCUUACUAAUUACAGAAAGUGUGUGUCUCUUGUAUCUUUCCCCAACUGUGAUCUCUGUUUUUAUUCUCAUUGGUGGCCAGGGAUUUGGCUCUUGCAUGACGACUCGCCGAAGAUGAUGUCUCCAUUUCCUCCCAGUUUGGUGCCUCGUGCACGCAUGCAGUAACUGGAAAUAAUGUCGAACAACGCUAACCACCGCUGGAACCCCUCUCCUAUGGACACUAGAU
rnacentral:lncRNA from 1 species